rnacentral:misc_RNA from 1 species
AAUUCUUAUCCUGUAUAAUACUGCAGAACCAGGAUUCGAACCAUGACAUUUCCCUUCUCAUAUUGAAAACAAAAGUUCAAUAAACAGAUAAAAAAAAUUUGAUAUUUAUUAUUACUACCAUAUAUACAUGCCAGUGAAUUUGGCAUUUCCUAUUUUCUCCUGUUUUUCCUUCUUUUAACAUGUUGUGGGCCCUGAAAAUUUUCUGGUGCAGCUGUAGUUGGGCAAGGUUUUGUU